GGGCCUCUAGCUCAAUUGGCAGAGCAACUGACUCUUAAUCAGUAGGUUCAGGGUUCGAUUCCCUGGAGGCUCACUA
rnacentral:tRNA from 1 species